CUACUCACCUGGCAGGGGAGACACCAUGAUCACGAAGGUGGUUUUCCCAGGGCGAAGCUUAUCCAUUGCACUCCGGAUGUGCUGACCCCUGCAAUUUCCCCAAAUGCGGGAAACUCGACUGGAGAAUUUGUUGUAGUGUUGGACUGCGUUUGUGCUUUACCCUAUG
ensembl:snRNA U1 U1 spliceosomal RNA